AGAGUUUGAUCAUGGCUCAGGAUGAACGCCGGCGGUGUGCCUAAUACAUGCAAGUCGAGCGCACUGGCCCAACCGAUAUGACGUGCUUGCACUGAAUUGACGUUGGAUUCCCAGUGAGCGGCGGACGGGUGAGUAACACGUGGGCAACCUGCCCUGAAGCGGGGGAUAACAUCUGGAAACAGGUGCUAAUACCGCAUAACAACGAAAACCACAUGGUUUUCGUUUCAAAGAUGGUUUCGGCUAUCACUUCAGGAUGGGCCCGCGGUGCAUUAGCUAGUUGGUAAGGUAACGGCUUACCAAGGCGAUGAUGCAUAGCCGAGUUGAGAGACUGAUCGGCCACAAUGGAACUGAGACACGGUCCAUACUCCUACGGGAGGCAGCAGUAGGGAAUCUUCCACAAUGGGCGCAAGCCUGAUGGAGCAACACCGCGUGAGUGAAGAAGGGUUUCGGCUCGUAAAGCUCUGUUGUUGGAGAAGAACGUGCGUGAGAGUAACUGUUCACGCAGUGACGGUAUCCAACCAGAAAGUCACGGCUAACUACGUGCCAGCAGCCGCGGUAAUACGUAGGUGGCAAGCGUUAUCCGGAUUUAUUGGGCGUAAAGCGAGCGCAGGCGGUUGCUUAGGUCUGAUGUGAAAGCCUUCGGCUUAACCGAAGAAGUGCAUCGGAAACCGGGCGACUUGAGUGCAGAAGAGGACAGUGGAACUCCAUGUGUAGCGGUGGAAUGCGUAGAUAUAUGGAAGAACAUCAGUGGCGAAGGCGGCUGUCUGGUCUGCAACUGACGCUGAGGCUCGAAAGCAUGGGUAGCGAACAGGAUUAGAUACCCUGGUAGUCCAUGCCGUAAACGAUGAGUGCUAGGUGUUGGAGGGUUUCCGCCCUUCAGUGCCGGAGCUAACGCAUUAAGCACUCCGCCUGGGGAGUACGACCGCAAGGUUGAAACUCAAAGGAAUUGACGGGGGCCCGCACAAG
rnacentral:rRNA from 2 species